CCUACGGGGGACAGCAGUGAGGAAUAUUGGUCAAUGGCCGUAAGGCUGAACCAGCCAAGUCGCGUGAAGGAAGAAGGAUCUAUGGUUUGUAAACUUCUUUUAUAGGGGAAUAAAGGGAGCCACGUGUGGAUAUUUGCAUGUACCCUAUGAAUAAGCAUCGGCUAACUCCGUGCCAGCAGCCGCGGUAAUACGGAGGAUGCGAGCGUUAUCCGGAUUUAUUGGGUUUAAAGGGUGCGUAGGUUGUUUUUUAAGUCAGCGGUGAAAGUUUGUGGCUCAACCAUAAAAUUGCCGUUGAAACUGGCAGACUUGAGUGUGUUUGAGGUAGGCGGAAUGCGUGGUGUAGCGGUGAAAUGCAUCGAUAUCACGCAGAACUCCGAUUGCGAAGGCAGCUUACUAAGCCAUAACUGACACUGACGCACGAAAGCGUGGGGAUCAAACAGGAUUAGAUACCCGUGUAGUC
rnacentral:rRNA from 1 species